rnacentral:rRNA from 1 species
GAGAGUUCAAGAGUACGUGAAACUGUGUGGUGGUAAACGGAGGGGUUCUCGAAGUUUCCGUGGGGAACUCAACCUUGGUGGUCUGCAGCCUUGUCGUAUUUGAUCAGCAAUGACUUUUCGGCUUGUCCUGCUCUCCUCUCGGGUGCAUUUCCCCCGCGGUUCACGACAGGAACCGUUUGGCUUGAACCGAAGGGCUUGGGUGAAGUUGUUGGUUCUGCUGGCAGCCCCUUGUUCCUGGCUUCACGCCAGACGGGUACGGGAGAGGACUCGUAUAUCGAGCAAUGCUCUGUUGCCGUUCUCAUCUCUCUGUCGAGUAGGUCGGUGGCCCCUCCGACCCGUCUUGAAACACGGACCACA